rnacentral:rRNA from 1 species
UACGUAGGUGGCAAGCGUUGUCCGGAUUUAUUGGGUUUAAAGGGUGCGUAGGCGGCUUUGUAAGUCAGUGGUGAAAUAUGGCAGCUCAACUGUCAGGGUGCCAUUGAUACUGCAGAGCUUGAGUACAGAUGAGGUAGGCGGAAUUGAUGGUGUAGCGGUGAAAUGCUUAGAUAUCGUCAAGAACACCGAUAGCGAAGGCAGCUUACUGGGCUGUAACUGACGCUGAGGCACGAAAGUGUGGGGAGCGAACAGG